rnacentral:rRNA from 1 species
UACGUAGGGUGCAAGCGUUAAUCGGAAUUACUGGGCGUAAAGGGCGCGUAGGCGGCCUGCUAAGUCGAACGUGAAGUCCCCGGGCUCAACCCGGGAACUGCGUCCGAUACUGGCAGGCUUGAAUCCGGGAGAGGGAUGCGGAAUUCCAGGUGUAGCGGUGAAAUGCGUAGAUAUCUGGAGGAACACCGGUGGCGAAGGCGGCAUCCUGGACCGGCAUUGACGCUGAGGCGCGAAAGCCAGGGGAGCAAACGGG